UCUGAGGAAUGCAGUGAUGUCCAUCAGUCAGUCACCUCUCACCCAGAGCCUGGCAAAUUCAAUCUCUUUCACAGAACCUAAAGCCAAGCCAGGUUCAACAGGAAAUCCCACCUGUCCAAACACUGUGUGAGAUACCAGAAGUAGAGGCCUGCAAGCCUGCUUCCGCCAUCUCUGAUGCUCAGAUGGGACAGGUCACCAGCGUCCUGUAUCUACCCCCACCUUUCUUGCUUGCUGGCGUCCUCUCUCUGCAGUGCUUCUCUCAUCCCUGCAAUCCAGACAACACAUGCAGGAGCUCAAAUAAGUGCCACCUCUGGAUGUGAGAAACAGGACCCAAAGAGGGGAAAUCAUUUUAAUCUUGUCCUGGAAUUGCUUUGUGUUCCUGGAUUUGGAGAAUUUCUUGGAACACAGGAAAAGGAAAGUGAAUGCCACCAGGAUCUGAACCCAAGAUCUCCAGCCUCCAUCACCAUCCUGACCCUGAGAAUGCCACUGGGAUGGGGAGAACUUGCCAGUCUUCAUCCUUCCCCACAAGUGUACUGAGGCCAGGACAGUCUUAGGCCCCUGCUGCCCUCCUGGCUCUCAGUGGAGAGAAAAGAGGAAGUAAAUUUGGACCUAGCCUUGAGAUCCUGGAAGAGCUCCUUUGGAUCUAGCCUUGGGAUCCUAGCAUCUCUUUACAAAAUUAUGAUCUUCGUUGGGCAUCUCUAAGCCACCAAUUGGGUUGCCUGCACUUGAGCAAAUACAGCAAGGUAGUAUUGAAACAGAAGGGUAGAUACAGAGUGGGAGGACUCUGUAUUUACCUGCAGAGGUAGCUGUAGAGAUGUCAUAUCAAGACAAGAGGCACUGGCUUGAGAAAUGCUGGCUGGACUUCUACAGCUGGGUAGAUGUCAGACAUGAAGCCCGCUGCUGAGUCUGGUGGGAGAAACUGCCCGCCUUAACAUCACCCUUAGCCCAGCACUAAGAUCGUGAGAGACUGGCCAGGCGUGGUGACUCACACCUGUAACCCCAGCACUUUGGGAGGCUGAGGCAGGCGGAUCACGAGGUCAGGAAAUCAAGACCAUCCUGGCUAACACAGUGAAACCCCAUCUCUACUGAAAAUACAAAAAAUUAGCUGGGCGUGGUGGCACGCGCCUAUAGUUCCAGCUACUUGGGAGGCUGAGGCAGGAGAAUGGCGUGAACCCGGGAGGCGGAGCUUGCAGUGAGCCAAGAUCAUGCCACCGCACUCCAGCCUGGGCGACAGAGUGAGACUCCAUCUCAAAAAACAAAAAAGGAUCCUGAGAGACCCCCGGGUCAUUCUCUAAGCUGGUCUUUUUGGUCUGGUUGGGUCAUUUUCUCCUACACAUCUUCUAGUUUGAUACCUUGGGGUAGAUCCAAGAGACUGAGAAGAUGGAGGCAUCCUAGUCAUGACCUCAACAAAGCUGGGGAAAGAAAACUCCUUCUGUCCUCUCUUGACCUUUCAUGGAAGGGCACUAUGUCUUCCACUCAGCAUCCUCACUGGAAACAGAAGAGAGGAAAAGGCAUCAGAUUUUAGCAGAAAGGAUAGAGGGUAGACAUAUGGAAAAACUUACUCAUGAGAUGAAAGACUUCAGAUUGGACCUGCUUCUCUUCUGAUAUUUUUCUUCUGCCUGCCGGUUUGUUUUUGUGUCUACUUAAGAAGCACUGGAUGAACCAGGGUUACUUUUCCAGGCCUCUUCCACCCAGCCUCAGCACAGUUUCCAUACAGUGCACUGCUUCUCAUUUCUUCUAAAUGUAAUGUAGUAUGUGUGGUGGUUAGAUCACAAGUUUUGGAGACAGACAGCUCUGGGUUCCAGUGCCAUCUCUGCCACUUACCAGCUGUGCUACCUUGGUAAUUCACUUAACCUCUUUGAGUCCUAGUUUUCUUGUAAAAUGCAGAUAAACAACUACUCCUUAAGUCUAUUGUGAGAAUUUCAUGAAAUAAUGUGUGUAAAGCACCUACAACAGUGCCUGAUACUCAGUAGAUGCUCACUGAACAGUGGAUGGUGCAAGAAUACUACUACUUUUAUGAAGUUAGCAGGGCUGAUACUGCUUCCAAGACUUUGUGAGUUCCCUGAGAUUAAAGGCUGAAUGUAUGUGCAUAUGCUGGGGGAGAAUGUAGUUUUCUACAUGAUGUGAAGUAGGGGUGGCCAUCCUCUGGAAAGAAAGUAGUCCCAAUCCUUGACUCAGACUCCCCAAGAAAUCAGUUACCCCAUUCCUAUGCCUCUCAAGCCAGAGUACCUUGGCCACUGUUCUGCCUGGAAGUUCAGCUUCAUCCAGGAUGGAGGUGGGAGAGAUAGUCAUUAGAAGGACAGCAACAACUAGCAUUUGCUAGGCACUUUACAGUUUGUUAAUCACAUUUAUCUACCUUAACUCUUUUGAUACCCAGAACAACCCAGUAAAGAGAACUCCAUUUAUUGAUGCCUGUAUGCCAGGCAUUGUACUGAGUGUGUUUUUUAAAGUAUGUUUAAAGACUAUAGAGUAUUUCAUCCCCUGGAUAUGCUGUGAUUUAUAAGGCUCAUCCCCUAUUUUGAAUCAUUUAGAUAUUCUUACUAUUAUAAAAAAUACCACAGUGAAUAUCCAAACAAAUAAAACUUUAUGCAUUUUAUUUUAUUUUUUGAGA
rnacentral:lncRNA from 1 species